rnacentral:sRNA from 1 species
AACUGCCCAGAACUCCUAACUGACACCCAGGUUUAGAGGGCCUGGUUUGGUCCUGUGCUGUAAGACUGGGGUCCCUGAGCCCCCACUUGCUCAGGUCGGCAUCAAUAUGGUGACCUCCCUGGAGUGGGGGACCACCAGGUUGCCUAAGGAGGAGUGAACUGGCCCAGGCCGGUAACGGAGCAGGUCAAACCUCCCGUACUGAUCAGUUGAAUUGUUUAUGUAACAUUCUUUCUUGCCUGUGUCCCCAGUAGCCCUUCCU